CCUACGGGUGGCAGCAGUGAGGAAUAUUGGUCAAUGGACGAGAGUCUGAACCAGCCAAGUAGCGUGAAGGAUGAAUGCCCUAUGGGUUGUAAACUUCUUUUAUAUGGGAAUAAAAUGGUCCACGUGUGGGAUUUUGUAUGUACCAUAUGAAUAAGGAUAGGCUAACUCCGUGCCAGCAGCCGCGGUAAUACGGAGGAUCCGAGCGUUAUCCGGAUUUAUUGGGUUGAAAGGGAGCGUAGGUGGAUUGUUAAGUCAGUUGUGAAAGUUUGCGGCUCAACCGUAAAAUUGCAGUUGAAACUGGCAGUCUUGAGUACAGUAGAGGUGGGCGGAAUUCGUGGUGUAGCGGUGAAAUGCUUAGAUAUCACGAAGAACUCCGAUUGCGAAGGCAGUUCACUGGACUGCAACUGACACUGAGGCUCGAAAGUGUGGGUAUCAAACAGGAUUAGAUACCCCAGUAGUC
rnacentral:rRNA from 1 species